rnacentral:rRNA from 1 species
GAUGCCAAAAAUACUGCUCUUCAAGGAACAUUUAGUUGUCAGGUUAUUAUUUAAUGAAGUGGUGUUUUUGAAUAUCAAAUGAAUAACUAGGUAUAAUAAUAAAAACGUAAUAGAUAAACGAAAAUUUAUAGUGAAAAGUUAAUAAUUGUGAUCUAUAGUUUUUUAAAAAGGUAACUUUAAUGUUAGUUAAAUAUCGAAAUAGUGAAAUAAAACAUUUUAGUAACUAAAAGAAAAAUCAACUGAGAUUUUGUAAGUAGUGGCAAGCGAAAGCAAAUACAAAAAAUUAUUAAGAAAAUAACAAAAAAGUUUUAGAAAACUUGCAAAAAAGGUAAAAGCCCUGUAUAAGUUUUUAAGAUUAAUUUAAUAGUAAAAAAAAACAAGUAAUUUUUUUUUGAAGAAUUUUUGGAGUACCAUCUUCAAUUUGUAAAUAUUAUUUUAUAACCGAUAGUAAAAAGUAUUGUAAAAGAAAGUUGAAAAGAACUUGAAAUUUAGUAUUAACGAUUUGUCAAAGUCUUUUGUAUCAUGAACUAGCAAGUUUAUUUUUACAGAAAGCUUAAAUUAGAAAAAAAUAUAGGCUUAGUGAAAAUAAAACCCGAAACCAAUUGACUUAGUUGUAAGCAAGCUAAAAAUAUAGUAAAUUAUAUAUCAAUUCUAAGUUCGUAGUUGUUGUAAAAGCCUGAAGUGACUUACGAUUAAAGGUGAAAGAGCAAACAAAAUCAAUCAUAAUUGAUUUGUUGCAAUAAACAUUUAGGUAUUGUGUAAAAAAGGUAAAGCUCUUUUAAAAUAAACUUUCAUUCGAUAUAUUUUAAAAAACUCCGAAUGUUUUAUAAUUUUUUUAUAGUCAGACUUUAUUGCGUUAAGGUUUAAAGUCAAAAAAUAAAUAUUCAGACUUCUUACCUAAACUUAGUUAACUGUAAUAUAGCAGUUGACCUCGAAAGACGUUUAAAGCAUUUUCUAGUACAAUUGAAAAAAAAGCUUAUUGAGAAUCCAUCCCUAUCUCGUCCGUCUGGUGUUGAGUGUGCCUUUAUUACAUUUGAUAACGAUGGAAACAUCUCUCAUAAUAUGACAAAAAUUGGUAAGCUAAAUUAAUCGG